rnacentral:tRNA from 1 species
GCUGGGAAUAUAGCUCAGCUGGUAGAGCGCUUGCCUCGUGUGCACAAGGCCCUGGGUUCAAUCCCAGCAGCA